rfam:Sodalis sp. TME1 V4_final_sodalis.fa.Contig87, whole genome shotgun sequence.
GGCCGGGUGGAGAGGCGUAAUACAAUACCCGAAAGGGGAAUAUGCCCGGAGCGUCUUGUGAAGCUCUAGUUGACGCCCGGCUACCAGCUA